AUCCUGGCUCAGGAUGAACGCUAGCGGCAGGCCUAACACAUGCAAGUCGAACGGUAACAGGAAAGAGCUUGCUCUUUUGCUGACGAGUGGCGCACGGGUGCGUAACGCGUAUACAAUCUACCUUUUACAGGGGGAUAGCCUUUAGAAAUGAAGAAUAAUACCCCAUAGUAAGUAAAUUUCGCAUGGAAAUUACUUUAAAGAUUUAUCGGUAAAAGAUGAGUAUGCGUUCUAUUAGCUAGAUGGUAAGGUAACGGCUUACCAUGGCAACGAUAGAUAGGGGCCCUGAGAGGGGGAUCCCCCACACUGGUACUGAGACACGGACCAGACUCCUACGGGAGGCAGCAGUAGGGAAUAUUGGGCAAUGGACGAGAGUCUGACCCAGCCAUGCCGCGUGCAGGAAGACGGCGUUCUGCGUUGUAAACUGCUUUUAUCUGGGAAGAAAAUGCCCAUGCGUGGGAAAUUGCCGGUACCAGAUGAAUAAGCACCGGCUAACUCCGUGCCAGCAGCCGCGGUAAUACGGAGGAUCCAAGCGUUAUCCGGAAUCAUUGGGUUUAAAGGGUCCGUAGGUGGAUAAUUAAGUCAGAGGUGAAAUCCUGCAGCUCAACUGUAGAAUUGCCUUUGAUACUGGUUGUCUUGAGUUAUUAUGAAGUAGUUAGAAUAUGUAGUGUAGCGGUGAAAUGCAUAGAUAUUACAUAGAAUACCAAUUGCGAAGGCAGAUUACUAAUAAUCAACUGACACUGAUGGACGAAAGCGUGGGGAGCGAACAGGAUUAGAUACCCUGGUAGUCCACGCCGUAAACGAUGAGAGCUAGUUGUCUGCAGGCAUGCCUGUAGGUGACGCAGCUAACGCAUUAAGCUCUCCGCCUGGGGAGUACGGCCGCAAGGUUAAAACUCAAAGAAAUUGACGGGGGCCCGCACAAGCGGUGGAGCAUG
rnacentral:rRNA from 1 species